CACAAACCCAUCUCGGUAUCUUGUCUCUCUCCGUUUCACAGAUUUCAAAGCCAUAGCUACUGAGCUUCAGUUUUUUUCUUAUGGAACUGACAGGAAUAUUGAAGAGUGGAAAAUGAAUUGACUGGUCAAGAAACUGGGUGCUGCUAGAGGCAGUAGCACCAGCAUGAUUCUGCCUCUGAUGUCCAAGGGAUCAAAUUUCAGAAGUGAUGGAGAUGUGGGAUGCGAAAUACUGGGUAUCAGCAGUAAGGUGAAUUAGUUUGAGCAAUUUGGCUGCUCACUUGAGAAUGUGGUGAAUAAACCACCAAAGGGAUUUUAAUUCUGAGGAGAUAUGGUUGCAUUGGAGGAAUCCAUCAGUCCCAGUUAGAUGUUAGCGAAGGAUUCCCUUAACGCAACAAUAUCUUUAUCAAAAUUUAAGAAGACUCUGAGUAAGUGCCAAGGAACUUUGCAUUAAAGGACAGCGAUCUCUGCACUUGUUGUUGGAUGUGGAACUUGAUGAUUCAAUGAGGUGCUUCCUUAAAGUGAUUUCCCAUACUGAUUAGUGAUUGGUGUUAAGGAGAGCGUAUUUAUGUUGCAUAAUUUUUUCAGUUAGGGUGUCAAUUUAGAUUCUUUUUCCCAGAAUACUUGUUUGUUUUAUAAUCUGUACUAGGUUUUGAACUCUGUGUGUAUGGCUGGAUUCAACUUCAUUAUUUGUUCUUGGGAUUUUUUAUCUUCCUUGUAGAUAGAUUCCAGAUUGUUGCCCUCUUGACAUAUUUUUGAACUAGUCUUGUUAUUACUUCUA